ACCUAAGUUGACCAACAUUUGACUCACAUUUUACCUACUGAAAGAUUUGCAACAAUGUUCAACCAUCAACCAAAGAAAAAUCAAAUCACUCCUGAAAAAGUUGAGUGAGAUAAGAGCAGACAGUGCUCCAAUGGGAGAGUCACUGUCUCAGAAGUGCCUGCUGCCAAGACCUCUGCGGAGAACUGCGACUGGAGGUGGUACAGACUGUUCAGUCGACUCCUG